rnacentral:rRNA from 1 species
CCCUUAGACGUUCUGGGCCGCACGCGCGCUACACUGACCAGUGCAACAAGCAUCCGUCCUUGGCCGACAGGCUCGGGCAAUCUUUGAACGCUGGUCGUGAUGGGGAUAGAUUAUUGCAAUUAUUAAUCUUCAACGAGGAAUGCCUAGUAAGCGCAAGUCAUCAGCUUGCGUUGAUUACGUCCCUGCCCUUUGUACACACCGCCCGUCGCUCCUACCGAUUGAAUGGUCCGGUGAAGCGUUCGGACCGUGGCCUUUGGACGGUUCGCCGUCUGUUGGCUGCGGGAAGUUCGUUAAACCUUAUCAUUUAGAGGAAGGAGAANUCGUAACA